GAUGAACGCUAGCUACAGGCUUAACACAUGCAAGUCGAGGGGAAACGCCAUCGAAAGCUUGCUUUUGAUGGGCGUCGACCGGCGCACGGGUGAGUAACGCGUAUCCAACCUGCCCAUCACUUGGGAAUAACCUUGCGAAAGUAAGACUAAUACCCAAUGACAUCCCACGAAGACAUCUGAAUGGGAUUAAAGAUUUAUCGGUGAUGGAUGGGGAUGCGUCUGAUUAGCUUGUUGGCGGGGUAACGGCCCACCAAGGCAACGAUCAGUAGGGGUUCUGAGAGGAAGGUCCCCCACAUUGGAACUGAGACACGGUCCAAACUCCUACGGGAGGCAGCAGUGAGGAAUAUUGGUCAAUGGGCGAGAGCCUGAACCAGCCAAGUAGCGUGCAGGAGGACGGCCCUAUGGGUUGUAAACUGCUUUUAUAAGGGAAUAAAGUGGGUCUCGGGAGACUUUUUGCAUGUACCUUAUGAAUAAGGACCGGCUAAUUCCGUG
rnacentral:rRNA from 1 species